rnacentral:rRNA from 1 species
CCCUUAGAUGUUCUGGGCUGCACGCGCGCUACACUGAAGCGUUCAACGAGUAUUCACCUUGCCCGGGAGGGUUGGGUAAUCUUUUGAAUGUGCAUCGUGAUUGGGAUAGAUGAUUGCAAUUUUUCAUCUUCAACGAGGAAUGCCUAGUAAACGCAAGUCAUCAGCUUGCAUUGAUUACGUCCCUGCCCUUUGUACACACCGCCCGUCGCUCCUACCGAUUGAAUGAUCCGAUGAAUAUCAUGGAUUGAGGAUGCAAGUAGGUUAGCCUAUCUUCAUCUUCGAGAAGUGAAGUAAAUCUUAUCAUUUAGAGGAAGGAGAAGUCGUAACA